UAUCCAUGAUAUGGGCAAGAGUUCAAGAGAUCUUUAAACCUCUCCCAACUUUGAAAGAAAGUCUCUUCCUCUUUUUGGGAGAAAUUCAUUAUUGUUAUCCUCAGGGU